GGACAACUCUUCCUGAAGCUUUGCCACAUGCUCAUCACGCUGCUGCAAGAGCUGAUCAACUCUAGAUUUCUCCACUCCUAAUUCUGAUGCCAGCUGCCUGAAAUGCACCAGCUCAGACAGCUCAGCAUUUUGCUUUUCCAAAUCCAGUAACCUGUCAUUCUUCUCGUUCAGUUGAGAAGUAAGCCCUUGCACUGACUCCUCUAAACCAGAAAGACAGGACAUCUCUUCUUGAAGCUUAGUGAUAUGUUCACCACGCUGCUGCAAAAGCUGAUCAAGUCUAGAUUUUUCCACUUCUAAAUCUGAUGCCAGUUGCCUGAAAUGCACCAUUUCAGCAUUGUGCUUUUCCAAAUCCAGUAACCUGUCAU
rnacentral:misc_RNA from 1 species